AAUUAAAACAAAGCAUUGCGAUGGCCGCUGGUCGGUGUUGACGCAAUGUGAUUUCUGCCCAGUGCUCUGAAUGUCAACGUGAAGAGAGUAACUGUGAGGCGGGGGUAAACGGCGGGAGUAACUAUGACUCUCUUGUGCCUUGUCGGGUACGAGAGGGUUGCCCUGUGAGGGGUUGUUUCCUAGCGAGAGUGGCAUGCACUCCACUUGUUCGCUUGGGGAGCCAUGGUUGCUUGCGUUGCGCAAAAUCCGACUCCUACCUGCCCGUGGUGCCCGCCGCCUAACAUGUAUGCCGUGGAAAGGGGUGCGAUAACCCUGGAUACGUGUUAGCAACAGGAGCUCCGGUACCGUGGCCUAGCCACUUCGGGGAUUGGGGGCUACCAACCCCCAUCCCUUAAAUCCACUUGGUCCAAGAAAGAAAAAUGAAAAUUUAC
rnacentral:ncRNA from 1 species